AAAGUUUGAUCCUGGCUCAGGACAWACSCUGGCGGCGUGCCUAACAMAUGCAAGUCGAGCGCGAAAGGGACCUUCGGGUCCCCUGAAAGCGGCGAACGGGUGAGUAACAAGUGGGCAACCUGCCUCAAGGACUGGGAUAACUCCGGGAAACCGGGGCUAAUACCGGGCGAUGUCGUCCCGCGCAAGCGGGCCGACCAAAUGGUAGCUUCGGCCUCCGCCUUGAGAUGGGCCCGCUUCCUAUCAGCUUGUUGGUGAGGUAACGGCUCACCAAGGCUACGACGGGUAGCUGGUCUGAGAGGAUGAUCAGCCACACUGGGACUGAGAUACGGCCCAGACUCCUACGGGAGGCAGCAGUGGGGAAUUUUGCGCAAUGGGCGAAAGCCUGACGCAGCAACGCCGCGUGAGCRAAGAAGGCCUUCGGGUUGUAAAGCUCUGUCAGGGGGAAAGAAGGCACCUGGGUUAAUAGCCCAAGGGCUGACGGUACCCCCAAAGGAAGCCACGGCUAACUACGUGCCAGCAGCCGCGGUAAUACGUAGGUGGCGAGCGUUGUCCGGAAUCAUUGGGCGUAAAGAGCGCGUAGGUGGCUUGUCAGGUCUGAUGUGAAAUCCUGGGGCUCAACUCCAGAACUGCAUCGGAAACCGGCUUGCUAGAGUCUGGGAGAGGAGAGUGGAAUUCCUGGUGUAGCGGUGAAAUGCGUAGAUAUCACGAGGAACACCGGUAGCGAAGGCGGCUCUCUGGAACAGUACUGACACUGAGGCGCGAAAGCUAGGGGAGCAAACAGGAUUAGAUACCCUGGUAGUCCUAGCCGUAAACGAUGGACACUCGUGUCGGGGGUGUCGACUCCCCGGUGCCGAAGCUAACGCAUUAAGUGUCCCGCCUGGGGAGUAUGCCGCAAGGCUAAWACUCAAAGGAAUUGACGGGGACCGCACAAGCGUGGAGCAUGKGUUUAGUCGAUGCACGCGAGAUCUACAGGUUUGAMUGAUACGACUUCUUGAAUGAAAGUGCGGUUGACGUAUACCAGGUGUGCAUGCUGUCGUMSUCGGUCCGAAKGUGGUAGUCCGUACGAGCUACCUGUUAGUGCCUURAGAACYUAARAACKCUGGAUAAACGKAAGAAAGGGUGGGGAUGA
rnacentral:rRNA from 1 species